AAAUUCAUGACUGGAUGGCUGGAGGGUUCAAGCAGCCAGAGAGAAGCACUGCAUAGUGGAAACUGUGACUAGUACGAGAAGUCAUACAGCUGUGCCAGAGAGCCAGCAGCUGAGAGCUGCCCAAAAGAACCGGGGGCAAAGAUAACACAGGUGUCCUUGGAAACAGCUGUUUUUGAGAAGGGCUCCAUCGUCCAGGCUUUCCUUCCCAUAAGGCUCCCAUGUGUGGGGAGAGAUGGCUAGUUUGCAGGAGUGAGAAGGAGGGGUAAGAGAGGUACAGCUGGAGGAGGCUCCAUGGAAAGACUGUGGAAAUGCGGAAAGCAGGGAAAUGAAGAAGGACACGUCACUCGUUGCAAGCUGAAAUGCAGAGUGGGUUGUAGAAGAACAGAGCAGGGAGGCAGAGAUUUGGAAGCUUCAUCAUAGAAGAACUGGCCUCAAGAACGAAGAUAAAGGGACUGUCGAGUGAAUCACUGAGCCUACCUUGGGCUGCAAGGGCAAAAUGUGAUGAAAGAAUUUCCACCCAAGGAUGUGAGAAAGUUCUCUCUGCUUGUCCAUCCAUGUUCUACCCUGUGCUUUCCAGUGCAACUCUGAAAAAGAGCCGAAGACAUAUUUGAAUUGGCUGGGGAUCUGGUUCCUGUUACAGAUGACCUCACAGACUUUUUCAGCUAGAAACCUUAUUAGUGAACAUCCAUUUGCUGUCUACAGUUGUACCUAAGAGAAGGAAGAUUGCUCAUUUUCUGUGUGCCUGAGAGAGAGGGGGAAGUCAAGAUCCUACAACAGCCAUCAUGGUGACUCUUCCUCUUUUCCUCCUCUUCAUCCUUUUGCCCUGCAGUAAAUCUCAGGAGGACUUUCUGGACCAGCAUCAGAAGUGGAACUACAGAGAAGGCGCUGACAAGGUCAACAUAGAAGGUGUUUACAGCAUUACUCAAACCCUUGAGAAAUGGGGAAAUGGCAUCUUCUGGCAAAUGAAGCAUACCCUGCUGAACAACCCAAAUGCUCUCCUGCCUGAGUUCUCCAGUCUCCGCCCUGUCUCUGCUGCUGUGGACAACCUUGUGAGGGAAGUCCAGUCGAUAAGGAAAAGGCUGGAAGAACUAAACGAACGUAUCAAUGUCGUCAGCAAAACUGUCCUUCCCCUUCGACUGAAUGCUCUGCAGAGCCAGAGGCGUGGAAAUACUCAGCUGCGGAGACUCCCGACACAUAGGAGGAGGUUAUAUGCUCACAGGAGACCUCAGAGCACUUAAUUCUCUACCAGAAAAAAGGGGAAAUAUUUAGUGUUUUUUCAUCUGCUUAAGCCUUUCUCAAUGGGACAUUGCUGGAUAAAAAAAGUAAAGCACACACAAGUCAGCAUUGCUAAGGAGACCAGAACUUCUGCAUUUUGUUGCUGCCUUCCAAACCUAGGUCAGUAGGUGAAACCUGACCCUGUUCUUUAAUGAUGGCUGUUUUGUGUCCCAAGCAAAAAAAAAAAAAAAGUUGACAAGCUUAGUCUACUUGACAGUGAAUAACUUUAGUCUGUACAAGCAUUCCUUCUGCUUACUAGAAGAAGGUCUUUGUAUAAAGAUCAGGUGAAUUUCUCGCUCUGCCCUAUUUUUAAAGCACUCCAUCUGAAACAGCUGGGGAAUUUGAACUACAAAAGUGCUGAACAACUGAUGAAUGCAGAAAGAUGGAUUAGUGCUUGGCACUUCCAGCUGGGCAGGGAAAGGGAGAGGAAGUUAUCUUUCAAAAUAUAGUCUUAACAUUUUGUCCAUGUUCAUAUGUUCAGAGGGUGGGUAGGGUUGGAUAACCUUGGCCUGUACAUCAUGCUUCAACCCUGGAGAUAUAUCAAUUGCUAGGGACCAAAUCUGAACCUUCUGCAAAGAGUGUUUUUCUAGCUACCUGGAACUGUGCAUUCAGAAUGGUGUUAUUCAGUAGAUAUGUUCAGAAUUUCCAGAACUCUAAACACAUUGAACUGAUUUUUGCCAAGACCCAUGGAAACCAGGGGAUUUUUAAAAUUUUUUUUUCAAAACUAUUUAGAUACCUUUUGGCAAAGAUAGGUAUCUGGAAGGACUUUCCAAAAUAAGCUUAAGAGACUCUUCAGUCCCCAAAAUCACAGAUAAUAAUUCAAUUGGUGUCUAGUUCACAGAGUUCAUAUUGUCUCCACGUGCCAGCAUUGACCCCCAGACAUUUCCCAACAUCCUUUAGCACAAUUAAGAACUGUAGAAAAUUAACAACCACACUCUCUAAAGACUUUGGUCCCUCAGGGAUUACCCAGAAUACCCUGCCUUCAGCUUGUCUUUGCGUGUGUCCUCCUGACAAUAAAGCCAAUGAUAAAAAAGAGUGCAUGAAUCAAAUUAUGCACUGAAUGGAGGAUAGAGUGGGCUUGCCCUUCAGGUCUCUAAAGAUAAAUCCAAUACAGAGAUUUGCAUUUAGCAUUGCAGUCAGCUGUGUAUAUGAAAUGUGUUGAAACAUAAGAAGGAGGGUCAGAGAGAAAAAGAAACAGGUUGUCUUUAAGGUCUGGAUGAAGAAACUUAUGAGAACACAAAUAAUGAAUGGAUUAUGUCUGAUUGUGGGAGUGUCUGGCAUGACAGUUGUUUUGAAAACACUCUCCAGCCACAGUAGGGAUGUAGACUAGUUAUUUAAGGAUUCCCAAAGCCUGAGCUUAUGGAAAGGAAUUCAGUGAUAGUACAAUAACCUCCAAAAAGAAAGGGGGAAAAAAUAAUUUCAUAUGAAAUCUUUCAGAAUGGACCAGAAGAAUUAACACAGUAAGAAUUUUAGCUCUAACCUGGGAGUUAGUUGAGUGGGGAAGGUAUGAGACAAUCUGAUAAAUAUUUCCUGGAAGUAAAUUUUCUGAGUCCAGGUUUUCAGGAAAUAACAAAACUCUGACUUGGCUCUCUUUGGCUUUUGCUUGGGAAUUUGAAACACUGCUUAGCUAGAGAAGGGAAAAAUCAAGACAGUGAAAAGGCUGAUAAAAGGAUACAAUUGUGCCUUUGUUGAAGUUGUCAUCAUAAUUUCUCAGGAAAUGUAGAGCAUUUUGAUCCCAGAAUAUAUUUACAUAAAUUACAAGGAAUAACAGAAGAGAAAGGCCCCUAACUUGUUAUUUUGCAUUCAGAGUUUCUAGGCUGUGCUGUACCAACAGCUGCAUCCUUGCACAGACUGCUGAUCCCUACAAGGGAUGCUUUUCUUGGGGCUGUAGGGACUGCGGGUUAUUUUGGUCUAUGAGGAGGAAGAGUAAAACAUAAAUGGUCGUAUUUUAAACACAAGGAUUUUGUCAGGCAACCUGAAGUUGUAUAAAUUGAGGACUACUUGAAACACAAAGAUGAGACUUCCCUAAAUCCCUCAAGUUACAGAUAGCUGGUAGUGGGAGGCCAGACCAGAUCAUUGCAUACUUUUACUUUAUACGUAGAUGUUCACCACCAGUGUCUGCCAGAGACAGAGGAUAGGGCAAGAUGGACCCCCAGUCUAACCUAGUCCACGUAUUCCUACGCUGAUAUGUGCAAGUUUGUAGUCCUGGCAAAACCUCCUCAGCACAAUGAAGAAAGUCACCAUUUGCUUUAAAAGAGAACAAAUAAGCUGCAGCAUGCAAUGUAUAUUAUAAUUCUGCACUUUCUUGCAUAGUGGUGAAUAAACCAAGUAAUAUAAAUUGUUAAUAAA